rnacentral:rRNA from 2 species
UGAACGCUGGCGGCGUGCCUAAUACAUGCAAGUCGAGCGAACUGAUUAGAAGCUUGCUUCUAUGACGUUAGCGGCGGACGGGUGAGUAACACGUGGGCAACCUGCCUGUAAGACUGGGAUAACUUCGGGAAACCGAAGCUAAUACCGGAUAGGAUCUUCUCCUUCAUGGGAGAUGAUUGAAAGAUGGUUUCGGCUAUCACUUACAGAUGGGCCCGCGGUGCAUUAGCUAGUUGGUGAGGUAACGGCUCACCAAGGCAACGAUGCAUAGCCGACCUGAGAGGGUGAUCGGCCACACUGGGACUGAGACACGGCCCAGACUCCUACGGGAGGCAGCAGUAGGGAAUCUUCCGCAAUGGACGAAAGUCUGACGGAGCAACGCCGCGUGAGUGAUGAAGGCUUUCGGGUCGUAAAACUCUGUUGUUAGGGAAGAACAAGUACAAGAGUAACUGCUUGUACCUUGACGGUACCUAACCAGAAAGCCACGGCUAACUACGUG